GACCAAGGAGUCUAACAUGUGCGCGAGUCGUAGGGUUACGCUCAAAGCCCGAAGGCGCAAUGAAAGUGAAGGUCGGCCUCGAUUGCCGUUACCUAGGCGGGAUCCGUUCGGGCUUACCGGUCGUUCGCGGCUGAGCCCGGCGGCGCACCGCCGGCCCGUCUCGACCGCAUCGCCGGUGAGGCGGAGCGAGAGCGUACACGUUGGGACCCGAAAGAUGGUGAACUAUGCCCGGGCAGGACGAAGCCAGAGGAAACUCUGGUGGAGGUCCGUAGCGAUUCUGACGUGCAAAUCGAUCGUCGGACCUGGGUAUAGGGGCGAAAGACUAAUCGAACCAUCUAGUAGCUGGUUCCUCCGAAGUAUCCCUCAGGAUAGCUGGUGCUAGACGAGGGCAGUCUCAUCCAGUAAAUUGAAUGAUUAGAGGCCUUGGGGCCGAAACGACCUCAACCAAUUCUCAAACUAUCAAUGGGUGAGAAGUCCGGCUUUGCUUACUGAAGCCCAGA
rnacentral:rRNA from 1 species